rnacentral:lncRNA from 12 species
AGCCUGUCCUCCAACCACCCACUGUCCUGCUCCACAGGAGUGACCAGGCUGCAGCCCAUGACCCGAGAGACCCAAAAGAGGCCCAGGGGUCCCCUGUCCCUUCCCUGGCUGUGCUCUGAAGUCACACCAGCCACGUGUCCCGGGCCCUGUCAUGAUCCGUCGUGGAUGGUUACCACCCUGGGCCGUGCAGAUGCAGAGCAUCUCCAUCAUCGUAGAUGGUUUCCUGGGACGACACUGGCCACACAGACAAGGUCCUGAAUCCAGCAAGUCAUCAGACCAAACUGUGUCCUCCUGGCAGAAAGUGAGCAAAACCAACCCCGGUUACGGUUCCCUGACAGCUCAGUGGAUUCAGCCAAAGAAAAUGACCCUGCACGGCAGCGGACACAGACGCAAAUUCCUGCUCUUGAGUAAUGAAGGCGACCGAACCGCACGCUUCUGCCUGCAAAUAUUCCACGCGGCCCCGGCCGCCCCGGGAGCCGUCCCGGGGUUCAGCCUCAGCAGAGAUGCCCCGAGCCCGGCCGCCCGGGCGCACGCGGGCUGGGCCGUGGCCUCCGCGGAAGGCGGCAGGUGGGGCAGCUCCUCGCUGCCCGGGAGCCCCGCUUCGGCCUGCAGCCCCGGCCUGGACGCGGGCCCGGAGGGAAAGCCCAGCUCUCCACGGAGCCACAGCGGCCCAUUAUUUCUGCUCGAAAACAGCCCUGGGGAUCCCUGGGUUGCGCAGCAGUUUGGCGCCUGCCUUUGGCCCAGGGCGCGAUCCUGGAGACCCGGGAUCGAAUCCCAUGUCGGGCUCUCGGUGCAUGGAGCCUGCUUCUCCCUCUGCCUGUGUCUCUGCCUCUCUCUCUCUCUGUGACUAUCAUAAAUAAAUAAAUUAAUUAAUUAAAAAAAAAAAAAAAG